CCUCCCGGGUCCCCCUUUUCCUCUGGGGGAGGGGCAGUCGCUGGUGCCAGGUGUCUUCCAGGUCAGGACUGGACCUGGACUAAAAGGGCUGCUGUGGUCAGGCUCUGCGGGGUUCCCCCAUGACCCACGACGUCAACCCAUGUGGGAGGCCAGGUCUGACCUGCCACGGGCAGGAGGGGGUGGAGCGUUUAAGAGGGGCCUCCUGGAGGUCUGAGGUCAUGGGGCGCACCCUGGAAGGGGCUCUGGACCCUGACUCUUUCUCUCACCCCCGUGCUGAGCAGGCUCCCUGGCACCACAGCAGAGCCCCAAACAGCAGAGCGAGUCCGCCCUGGACUGAAACCUCCCGAACUGUGAGCAGGGAACCCUUUCCUCUUUAUAAGCCAACUGUCUCGGGUAUUUGUUAUCACGAGAGACACCUGACAGGCAGAAGCCGGGCCACGGUGUCUCUAGACCCACCAGCCCACCCACCGGCAGGUUCCGGCCCCGGCCACAGGAGGCUGGCCAAUCACGCUGACCGGCAUUCCUUCAGUGUCCCGCCCGCAUUUGCCCGGACGUCACUUCACACAGUGAAGAAUGUUUCUCCAGGAUCUACGAUGAGUCAAGCCCUCGUCCAGGCGUUGGGGCCACCAGUCCAAACCCAUCACAGUGCCUGCAGUCCCAGCUCACAUUCCAGCUAGCCAGGAAGCCGCCCAGCCAGGAUCCGAGUCGGGGAAGUCCGGCUCCUGGACUGUGAGUGCUCGGUUCUGCCCAUUUGCCGUGGCUGUGUUCUGUAAGGGUCUUCAAACACCAAAGCCCAGGCCAGGUUCUGGGGAGAGCAGGCUGUGCUCUGAGCAACUCCGCUUUGUAAAGCAACGGUUUGCCACGAGCUUUGAGUUCAGCUGCCAAGGUGGAGUGACUCCACACCUCGUUUGCACAAGAAAACCCACCAUCUGCCCAGCACAACCAUAAGGCAAAGACUGAGAAAUAAAUUAAUCAGGCUGAUAAAAACAACCACCUGUGACCAUCUCUGAUUAAAUCAGAAGCACAUGGACACAAGGGCAUAGCAACUCCGUAUCAGAAAAGCCAGGCCCAGCUGGGCAAAAGGCCGCACACCUAGAAUCCCAGUGGCUAGUAAGGCCAAGGCAGGAGGAUUGCAAGUUCAAGGCCCUCCUCAGCAACUUAUUGAGACUCUGUCUCAAAAUAAAAAUUAAAAAAAAAAAAAAAAAAAAAAACAACAGGCCGAAGAUGUGGCUCAGUGGUCAAGUGCCCCUGGGUUUAAUUCCUGGUACCAACAAGAGGAGGAGGAGAAUAAGAAGGAGGAGAGCCAGGCCCCCAAGCUUAACAAACACACCAGACCUUCAGAGGGAGCAGCCCUCACCUGAGUCCCACGUAAGGAGGAGCACCCCAAGACUGGUUAGACCCUGUCACCUGGGGUGGAGCCCAGGAGCACGCACACCUCUGCUCACUCACCACACACGAGCCUUGCCCAGGAAAAUCGUCACAGCCACAGAUCUCCUGUCCCCAGCCUUCAGGGCACAGACCAGUUCCUCCUGCCCAUUCCCAGCGGACGCCUCAUGCUGACGACGCUGGGAACAUGGCUGCUGUGGGACACUGGCUCAGACCAAGUCCAUCUCUGACAGCUCUGCUCCCUGGACAAGCCCGUCAGCUGGUUUUUGUUGAUGUUGUUGGGUUUUAUUUUUGGUUUGGGUUUUUUUUUUAAUCUGUCUGUGGUCCUGGGGUUUGUGGCACCCAGGGGUGCUCCACCGCUGAGCUACACCCCCAGCCCUUUUUACUUUAUUUUGAAACAGGGUCUUGCUAAGUUGCCCAGGUUGGCCUCAAAUUUGUGAUCCUCCUGCCUCAGCCUCCCCAGCAGCUGGAAUUGCAGGCGUGCACCACCCUGCCCACCAGCUGGUUCUUAAUCUCUUAAUCUGGCCACCUGUAGUGACUCUUACUUUCCUGUCUUCUCUCUCUCUCCCUGGGGCUACCUUGACCCUUUCUUAGCCUUCCAUGGUGUAGAGUGUGAUGUGUGACUCUGGUGUUAGAGAUAUCGCCUGCCUUCUGACCACCAGAUGACCCUCCCCUGCGGCAGAGUGGCCGUGCAUGAUGGUACUCAGUGCAUUCUGACACUGUGGAGAGACGGGCUGUCUGUGUUCAUGGCACAGUCAGCCAUGAUGGCUUCCCAAAGCCUCCGGUCACAUUUCUCGGUGAUCAGCACAUAACCUUGCUCCACAUGUGUCCAGUCUAAAGACGCCUCAUUGGUCUGGACAGCUGAGUCCUGCACGUGGAGUCCGUGGCCGGCAGCACCACUCGUGGGCCUGACUUUCCCCACUAGGUGUGUCACGGCCUCUCGGGCCCAGGACACAGGACAGAGAACGCCAAGGGACCCACAGAAGCAUGGAAAUCCUGCUGUGUGGACCUAACUGGACCAGGCCAAGGACAUCUGCUCACCCUGGGCACUGAAGCAAGAAGGCAGAAGGUCACCUGCUCAGCCUGGGCUGGGACUGUGUGGCAGUCACCGAUUCUGUCUCCCCGCACGUGAUGGAGAGAGAUAGUCAGCUCUUUUCCAGGAAAUCUCUGCCCAAAUCGUGUAGCUUCAGAGCAUGUGAGGAAGAUCGCCUUCUGUGUCCUGCACGUCCACACCAUGGGUGCCCCAGGCCGGACGCAUGCUUCCCUGGAAGAGUCAGGGGAAGCUCGGCCAGAGCCAUCAGGCUGAUCCAGAGGCCUGCAGCACUGGGGCCUGAGACCAGCGCUGCCCAGCCUUCGACGGCGGGAUCCUGCAGGGCCACCAGAGCUUGCUUUCCUGAGCCAUCUCCGGAAUUCUCCGAGAGCCAGGCACAGUGGUGCAGGCCUACGACUCCAGCGACCCGAGGCUGAGGCAGGAGGGUUGCAAGUUCAGAGCCGGCCUGGGCAACUUAGCUGGCCCCUAACAACUUAGCAAGACCCUGCCUCAAAGUAAAAUACCAUAAAAGGUCUGGAGACGUGGCUCAGUGGUGAAGGGCCCCUGGGUUCAAUCCUCGUACAAAAAAAGAGAGAAGUCUCGGAUAGCCUUGUGUCCCGGAACCUAAGAGUGCCUUUGCAGAUGGUGAAGGAGUCGGGGCUGUCAGAGUGGGUGGGGGAGGCCAGGGAUGGUCAGAGCCGUGGCGUCCUGGCCAUGGGUGCCACUUGCCUCUGUCCCUGAAGCCAGCCUCCAGGAACACUACCUGUCCUCCUGCCGGUCACCCUCAGCCUGACUGCAUGGCCGCCCCAGGGCUCCAGGCUCAGCGUGGGGAGGACCGAGAGGCCCCUGGCUGGAACGGGAAGGA